rnacentral:siRNA from 1 species
UUGGAGAUGCCCUAAGAAGAC